rfam:Aedes albopictus isolate Foshan contig110860, whole genome shotgun sequence.
UGCCCAACAACUCCUAUCCCAACCUCCGCGUGGUACCGGCUGGAAACUACGAGCAAUCUUAGGGAAGAUCGGGUAUCCAACCCCGGUGGGAACUUUGGUCGUAGGCUGACAUGGAAGG